UGGGGAAUAUUGGACAAUGGGCGCAAGCCUGAUCCAGCCAUGCCGCGUGAGUGAUGAAGGCCUUAGGGUUGUAAAGCUCUUUCACCGAUGAAGAUAAUGACGGUAGUCGGAGAAGAAGCCCCGGCUAACUUCGUGCCAGCAGCCGCGGUAAUACGAAGGGGGCUAGCGUUGUUCGGAAUUACUGGGCGUAAAGCGCACGUAGGCGGAUAUUUAAGUCAGGGGUGAAAUCCCGCAGCUCAACUGCGGAACUGCCUUUGAUACUGGGUAUCUUGAGUAUGGAAGAGGUAAGUGGAAUUCCGAGUGUAGAGGUGAAAUUCGUAGAUAUUCGGAGGAACACCAGUGGCGAAGGCGGCUUACUGGUCCAUUACUGACGCUGAGGUGCGAAAGCGUGGGGAGCAAACA
rnacentral:rRNA from 2 species